rnacentral:rRNA from 1 species
AACGAACGCUGGCGGCAGGCUUAACACAUGCAAGUCGAGCGCCCCGCAAGGGGAGCGGCAGACGGGUGAGUAACGCGUGGGAAUCUACCCAUCCCUACGGAAUAGCUCCGGGAAACUGGAAUUAAUACCGUAUACGCCCUACGGGGGAAAGGUUUAUCGGGGAUGGAUGAGCCCGCGUUGGAUUAGCUAGUUGGUGGGGUAAAAGCCUACCAAGGCGACGAUCCAUAGCUGGUCUGAGAGGAUGAUCAGCCACAUUGGGACUGAGACACGGCCCAAACUCCUACGGGAGGCAGCAGUGGGGAAUAUUGGACAAUGGGGGCAACCCUGAUCCAGCCAUGCCGCGUGAGUGAUGAAGGCCUUAGGGUUGUAAAGCUCUUUCACCGGGGAAGAUAAUGACGGUAUCCGAAGAAGAAGCCCCGGCUAACUUCGUGCCAGCCGCCGCAGUAA